AGAGAGAGAGAGAGAGAGACUCCUAAUGAAUGCAAAACUGGAAGGCUAGUAUGGUUUGGUGUGGCAUGGCUUUUUCUAUAUAUUGGGCUAUAAAAUUGACAGAGGAGAGGAGGUGGUGUAAUGAAGUAGGAGGGGUUACUCUGUCUGGAUGUAGAGGCUUCAACUCACCCAACCAACGAUUUGAAGUUGGCUUUGAUGUUAAGUUCUUGCUGCUCAAGCAUUGCACUUUCACAUUUUUUUCAGCUUUCGUAACCUGCUAACGGACACCUCUAUUUUUGAAAAUGAUGGAUUUUUUUUUUCAACUUAUAUGGCUGUAGAAAUAUUGGAAAUUUGGUAAAUACGUGUCAGGUGGGCCAUUUAUGGUAGAUGGU
rnacentral:misc_RNA from 1 species